rnacentral:misc_RNA from 1 species
GAUGAAGAACGUAGCGAAACGCGAUAAGUAAUGUGAAUUGCAGAAUCCAGUGAAUCAUCGAAUCUUUGAACGCACAUUGCGCCCGCCAGUAUUCUGGCGGGCAUGCCUGUUCGAGCGUCAUUACAACCCUCAGGCCCCCGGGCCUGGCGUUGGGGAUCGGCGGAAGCCCCCUGCGGGCACAACGCCGUCCCCCAAAUACAGUGGCGGUCCCGCCGCAGCUUCCAUUGCGUAGUAGCUAACACCUCGCAACUGGAGAGCGGCGCGGCCACGCCGUAAAACACCCAACUUCUGAAUGUUGACCUCGAAUCAGGUAGGAAUACCCGCUGAACUUAAGCAUAUCAAUAAGCGGAGGA